rnacentral:rRNA from 1 species
GACGAACGCUGGCGGCGUGCUUAACACAUGCAAGUCGAACGGAAAGGCCCUGCUUUUGUGGGGUGCUCGAGUGGCGAAGGGGGGAGUAACACGUGAGUAACCUGCCCUUGACUGUGGGAUAACUUCAGGAAACUGGGGCUAAUACCGGAUAGGAGCUCCUGCUGCAUGGUGGGGGUUGGAAAGUUUCGGCGGUUGGGGAUGGACUCGCGGCUUAUCAGCUUGUUGGUGGGGUAGUGGCUUACCAAGGCUUUGACGGGUAGCCGGCCUGAGAGGGUGACCGGCCACAUUGGUACUGCGAUACGGCCCAGUCUCCUACGGUAGGCAGCAGUGGGGAAUAUUGCACAAUGGGCGGAAGCCUGAUGCAGCAACGCCGCGUGCGGGAUGACGGCCUUCGGGUUGUAAACCGCUUUCGCCUGUGACGAAGCGUGAGUGACGGUAAUGGGUAAAGAAGCACCGGCUAACUACGUG